rnacentral:rRNA from 1 species
GAUGAACGCUAGCGGCAGGCUUAACACAUGCAAGUCGAGGGGUAGAGGCUUUCGGGCCUUGAGACCGGCGCACGGGUGCGUAACGCGUAUGCAAUCUGCCUUGUACUGGGGGAUAGCCCAGAGAAAUUUGGAUUAAUACCCCAUAGUAUUUUCGGUUGGCAUCAACUGAUUAUUAAAGUUUUUCGGUACAAGAUGAGCAUGCGUCCCAUUAGCUAGUUGGUAUGGUAACGGCAUACCAAGGCUACGAUGGGUAGGGGUCCUGAGAGGGAGAUCCCCCACACUGGUACUGAGACACGGACCAGACUCCUACGGGAGGCAGCAGUGAGGAAUAUUGGUCAAUGGUCGCAAGACUGAACCAGCCAUGCCGCGUGCAGGAUGAAGCAUCUAUGGUGUGUAAACUGCUUUUGUACGGGAAGAAACACUCCCUCGUGAGGGAGCUUGACGGUACCGUAAGAAUAAGGAUCGGCUAACUCCGUGCCAGCAGCCGCCGUAACAC